rnacentral:rRNA from 1 species
CCUGCGUGAAGUUGGAAUCGCUAGUAAUCGCGGAUCAGCAUGCCGCGGUGAAUACGUUCCGGGCCUUGUACACACCGCCCGUCACACCAUGAGAGUCGGGAACACCCGAAGUCCGUAGCCUAACCGCAAGGGGGGCGCGGCCGAAGGUGGGUUCGAUAAUUGGGGUGAAGUCGUAACAAGGUACC